rnacentral:rRNA from 1 species
CCAGCCGCCGCGGUAACACCGGCGGCCCGAGUGGUGAUCGUGAUUAUUGGGUCUAAAGGGUCCGUAGCCGGUUUGGUCAGUCCUCCGGGAAAUCUGAUAGCUCAACUAUUAGGCUUUCGGGGGAUACUGCCAGACUUGGAACCGGGAGAGGUAAGAGGUACUACAGGGGUAGGAGUGAAAUCUUGUAAUCCCUGUGGGACCACCUGUGGCGAAGGCGUCUUACCAGAACGGGUUCGACGGUGAGGGACGAAAGCUGGGGGCACGAACCGGAUUAGAUACCCGGGUAGUCCCAGCCGUAAACGAUGCUCGCUAGGUGUCAGGCAUGGCGCGACCGUGUCUGGUGCCGCAGGGAAGCCGUGAAGCGAGCCACCUGGGAAGUACGGCCGCAAGGCUGAAACUUAAAGGAAUUGGCGGGGGAGCACAACAACGGGUGGAGCCCUGCGGUUUAAUUGGACUCAACGCCGGACAACUCACCGGGGGCGACAGCAAUAUGUAGGCCAAGCUGAAGACCUUUGCCUGAAUCGCUGAGAAGUGGUGCAUGG